rnacentral:rRNA from 1 species
GCAGUCGACGGUACAGGAGAGCUUGCUUCUUUGCUGACGAGUGGCGGACGGGUGAGUAUGUCUGGGAACUGCCUGAUGGAGGGGGAUAACUACUGGAACGGUAGCUAAUACCGCAUAACGUCGCAAGACCAAAGAGGGGGACCUUCGGGCCUCUUGCCAUCGGAUGUGCCCAGAUGGGAUUAGCUAGUAGGUGGGGUAACGGCUCACCUAGGCGACGAUCCCUAGCUGGUCUGAGAGGAUGACCAGCCACACUGGAACUGAGACACGGUCCAGACUCCUACGGGAGGCAGCAGUGGGGAAUAUUGCACAAUGGGCGCAAGCCUGAUGCAGCCAUGCCGCGUGUAUGAAGAAGGCCUUCGGGUUGUAAAGUACUUUCAGCGGGGAGGAAGGUAGUAAAGUUAAUACCUUUGCUCAUUGACGUUACCCGCAGAAGAUG